rnacentral:rRNA from 1 species
UACGUAGGGGGCAAGCGUUGUCCGGAUUUAUUGGGCGUAAAGAGCGUGUAGGCGGUCAGGUAGGUCCGUUGUGAAAACUCGAGGCUCAACCUCGAGACGCCGAUGGAAACCAUCUGGCUAGAGUCCGGAAGAGGAGAGUGGAAUUCCCGGUGUAGCGGUGAAAUGCGCAGAUAUCGGGAAGAACACCCGUGGCGAAGGCGGCUACUCUCGGGAGCGGUACUGACGCUGAGACGCGAAAGCGUGGGGAGCGAACAGG